rnacentral:rRNA from 1 species
GAUGAACGCUAGCGGCAGGCUUAAUACAUGCAAGUCGAACGGUAACAGGUCUUCGGACGCUGACGAGUGGCGCACGGGUGAGGAACACGUACACAAUCUACCUUAUACUGGAGAAUAGCCCCGGGAAACUGGGAUUAAUACUCCAUAGUCUUUAAUGAUCACAUGAGAAAUAAAGUAAAGCUUCGGCGGUAUAAGAUGAGUGUGCGUCCCAUUAGAUUGUUGGUGAGGUAACGGCUCACCAAGUCGACGAUGGGUAGCUGGCGUGAGAGCGCGACCAGCCACACUGGCACUGAGACACGGGCCAGACUCCUACGGGAGGCAGCAGUAGGGAAUAUUGGUCAAUGGACGAAAGUCUGAACCAGCCAUGCCGCGUGGAGGAUGACUGCCCUCUGGGUUGUAAACUCCUUUUAUAUGGGAGAAACCUCUGGAUUCACUCCAGAGCUGACGGUAUCAUAUGAAUAAGCACCGGCUAACUCCG